rnacentral:lncRNA from 1 species
UGUGUCAGCAAUAUUGGCAAGUCAGAAGUCAAUUUUAGUCGUAUGGUUAUAAAAACCAUUUAUACCAUUGUAGCGUCCACCCCUGUAAACAAUUUGCAUGACGCUGGACAAGUGAAGGAGAUCCUCAUUUCAAACAAGAGCCUUAGUUGGCACAUUUCCCCACCUCAGUUACCUUUUCUUCUAAAGGGAGGCACAGUAACAGGGGAACAACAAUUAAGGAGUUAUGCAAACCAAAUUAUGAUCUCCCCUAGUUGAGUGGUCGGGCGGUCUGUUCAAGGCUUGACGCUUCUGCUGAGGCGCCGGGGCCGGACGCUAUUGCUGAGGCGCCGGACGCUAUUGCUGAGGCGCCGGGGCCGGACGCUUCUGCUGAGGCGCCGGGGCCGGACGCUUCUGCUGAGGCGCCGGACGCUUCUGCUGAGGCGCCGGGGCCGGACGCUUCUGCUGAGGCGCUGGGGCCGGACUUCACACUUGACGGGGCAUUGUGGCCAGUAGAUUCUGCUGGCGUGGCAUUGUGGCCAGUAGCUUCUGCUGACGUGGCAUUGUGGCCAGUAGCUUCUGCUGACGUGGCAUUGUGGCCAGUAGCUUUAGCAUUUGGACUAGGCACCACACUUGCUUUGGCAUAGGAUCCAGUUGGUUCAGGUCCAGUGUAGGCAUGAUGCCCAUUAGAAUUACCU